rnacentral:rRNA from 1 species
ACCAAGGCGACGAUGGUUAGCUGGUCUGAGAGGAUGACCAGCCACACUGGAACUGAGACACGGUCCAGACUCCUACGGGAGGCAGCAGUGAGGAAUAUUGCGCAAUGGGGGAAACCCUGACGCAGUGACGCCGCGUGAGUGAUGAAGGCUUUCGAGUCGUAAAGCUCUGUUAGGUGGAAAGAAACAUUCCGGCGCUAAUAUCGCCGGGACCUGACGGUACCACCAGAGGAAGCACCGGCUAACUCCGUGCCAGCAGCCGCGGUAAUACGGAGGGUGCAAGCGUUGUUCGGAUUUACUGGGCGUAAAGGGCGUGUAGGCGGUUAACUAAGUCAGAUGUGAAAUCCCUUAGCUUAACUAAGGAAGUGCAUUUGAAACUGGCUAACUGGAGUACAGGAGAGGAAAGUGGAAUUCCCAGUGUAGAGGUGAAAUUCAUAGAUAUUGGGAGGAACACCGGUAGCGAAGGCGGCUUUCUGGCCUGAUACUGACGCUGAGACGCGAAAGCGUGGGUAGCAAACAGGAUUAGAUACCCUGGUAGUCCACGCCGUAAACGAUGGGAACUAGGUGUAGGAAGUGUUGACCCUUUCUGUGCCGAAGCUAACGCAUUAAGUUCCCCGCCUGGGGAGUACGGUCGCAAGGCUAAAACUCAAAGGAAUUGACGGGGGCCCGCACAAGCGGUGGAGCAUGUGGUUUAAUUCGACGCUACGCGAAAAACCUUACCUGGGCUUGACAUGCUGGGAUUAUUCCUGAGAAAUCAGGAGGAUUGCCUUCGGGUGUAACCAGCACAGGUGCUGCAUGGCUGUCGUCAGCUCGUGUCGUGAGAUGUUGGGUUAAGUCCCGCAACGAGCGCAACCCUCGCUUUUAGUUGCCAUCAUUAAGUUGGGCACUCUAAAGGAACUGCCCCGGUUAACGGGGAGGAAGGUGAGGAUGACGUCAAGUCCUCAUGGCCCUUAUGCCCAGGGCUACACACGUGCUACAAUGGCUUGUACAAAGGGAAGCGAGCCCGCGAGAGUAAGCUAAUCCCAAAAAACAAGCCUAAGUUCGGAUUGAAGUCUGCAACUCGACUUCAUGAAGUUGGAAUCGCUAGUAAUCCCAUAUCAGCAUGAUGGGGUGAAUACGUUCCCGGGCCUUGUACACACCGCCCGUCACACCACGAAAGUCGGCUGCACCAGAAGUCGUUAUACCAACCUUUUCAAAAAGGAGGGAGACGCCUAAGGUGUGGUUGAUGAUUGGGGUGAAGUCGUAACAAGGUA